CAGUCGCCGCGGGAAUACGUAGGGUGCAAGCGUUAUCCGGAAUUAUUGGGCGUAAAGAGCUCGUAGGCGGUUUGUCGCGUCUGCUGUGAAAACUGGAGGCUCAACCUCCAGCCUGCAGUGGGUACGGGCAGACUAGAGUGCGGUAGGGGAGAUUGGAAUUCCUGGUGUAGCGGUGGAAUGCGCAGAUAUCAGGAGGAACACCGAUGGCGAAGGCAGAUCUCUGGGCCGUAACUGACGCUGAGGAGCGAAAGCGUGGGGAGCGAACAGGAUUAGAGACCCCUGUAGUCCCUGUCUCUUAUAC
rnacentral:rRNA from 1 species